rnacentral:lncRNA from 1 species
GGUUUGGGUCGAUGGCCCCUCUUUCAAGCGCUUCAAUGGGGGCACACCACCCGCCGAUGAGAAGCCCGACUCAUCGGAGUCAGUGUACACCACCUCGCACCUAGGGGCAAACUGACCUCGCGAGUUGCGAGGCUGCUUCCGGGCAUGGAGGGUGUGCUUGCCGCGUCCCAUGGCCACCGCCUCUGUCACCACUCCUCUGCCGCCGCCGUGGGAUUGACUCCGCCGCCGCAGCCGUCGCCCGGAGGAGACGAGGAUGGGACUGUGUUCACG